AGCUUUGCGCAGUGGCAGUAUCGUAGCCAAUGAGGUUUAUCCGAGGCGCGAUUAUUGCUAAUUGAGAACUUCUCCCCCAACACCAGACUUGGAACUUUCUCAAUGUGUCCACUUGAAUAUAAAGUCAUCAGACU